UCCACCUCCUCCCCCUCUCAAUUCCUGCAGAAGUCUCUUUCUCUUUAUUUCUAGCGCAACCACGACCAGAGAAGGAACGGAAUAUUCGUUCCCUUCUGUCUGGGUCUUAAAAACAAAAGAUAGGGGUGAGAACAAGCAACCCCUAAUUUCUUUUAAAAAUCUUACCCCACCCCCACCACCACCACACACGUAAUAUAUCUAUGAAAUAAAUGGUGGGGUCAACGCAGCGAAGAAGAAAAAGGAGCAUUCGUCCGGGUAGUGACCACCACGACUCACAAGUAACGACCACGAUGACAACAACCAUGACCACCACGGCGAAAAUCUUAACGGUGAUAUUUACGGUGUCCGCGUUUUGGAGUCCGGCCGAGGCCCAAGUGAGGGUUCUGACGCCGCCCUACUUCAACUUGGCCUUCGGCAAGGACAUCGUCGCCUCGUCCACAUGCGGCGUGAACUCGUCGUCGCCAGAACUGUUCUGUCGGUUGACCGGCGUGGCCGGAGACACCAAGGAGAGCGACCUGCGGAUAACCAUCAAUUCGGGCCAGCUGUGCGAGGAAUGCGACCCCACCGUGGAGUCGUUGUCCCAUCAUGCCGAACUGGCCAUCGACGGAACCGAGCGCUGGUGGCAGAGCCCGCCUCUCUCCCGUGGAAUGGAAUACAACGAAGUCAAUGUCACCAUAGACCUAGAACAGGUUAGUCUGGGGGUCUUUUCACGAAUUUAGAUUUUCCACGCAUUAUUACGUUUACAAAUCAAUGCAUAUGUACAGUUUGAGGCCUCACCUAUGUAUAACUACACUUUAAUGCCCCACUAAACUUGUUGUUUAAAUUAUUAUUUUUAAAUGUUUACAAAAGUGUUUUCAAACGAGCUUUCAACGAGGUAUUCCUUCCUUUUCAGGACAUGAAGGGACACUCAAAUUAAAAGGGGUUAUUUUGAGGAAUUUUGCACAGCAUCAAACUGUUGCCAUGCCCCCUCCCCCAUUAAGAACGAUUUUUGAACAAAUUUGUAUGAGAGUUUCAGUGUCCCCUUUCGCCAUCCCUCCCUCAUUUCCAUGCCUUCUUUAGGCUAUUAUUUUUAGCAUAUAGAGGGACCACAUUGAGGUCUCCUUCCCUUAUUUCUUCUGCUCAUUAUUUUUCUUCUUAACCCUUUUGUUCCCAUAUUUAGGCUAUUAUUUCUAGCAUAUAGACAGACCACAUUGAAGUCUCCUUCCCCCAUUUCUUCUGCAGAAUAUUUUUCUUCUUAACCCUUUUCUUACUAUAUUUAGGCUAUUAUUUCUAGCAUAUAGACAGACCACAUUGAAGUCUCCUUCCCCCAUUUCUUCUGCAGAAUAUUUUUCUUCUUAACGCUUUUCUUACUAUAUUUAGGCUAUUAUUUCUAGCCUAUAGACAGACCACAUUGAAGUCUCCUUCCCCCAUUUCUUCUGCGGUAUAGUUUUCUUCUGAACCCUUUCGUUACUGUAUUUCUGUUGAGAUGCUCUGUGUUUCUAUCAAUUAAUUUUAAAUAUAACAAAGAAUUUAGUAAAAUAACUUAGUUAUUUAUUCAGCUAGUGUCAGGAACACAAAUUGUGACUAAAGUUUGGUGGAAGAUUUUCAUUCAGAACAAGACAUUUGAAUUUAAAGAGAAUCUGUGUGCAAGUGUGGAACCAAGAUGUGUGUGUGUGUAUUAGUAUGUAUGUAGUUAUGCAUGUAUGACACCAUUUUUCAGCUUUAUUUCAAGAUUUCUUGCCAAUAGAGAAAGUGCUGGUUUCUAACCUAGAUCCAAGGCUCCUUCAUUGGAAUUUCAACAUCAACAGGAUAUGUAUGUAUGUGUGUGUACAUGCAGAUUUAUAUGUUUUGUUAUAUGUAUGUCUUCUCAUGCAUAUAGCUACAUAUCUAGACAUUCUCAUAUAUACUUAAAUGAUAAACUUCUGGAAAGUUUUACAGAUUUUUACAGUUCCACUGAUGGGUUGGAUCUGUAGUCUUAGAAUCAGAUUUCUCAGUUCUGAAUUUGAGAAGCCUGCUUUCUCAAGAUUGGUAUCUAGGCAGUGUGUUACAUAUCCCAGGCCCCCCUAUAAUUACAGGUAUAAACCUGAACUUGUAAUCUAGAUAGAGUAACUGUAGAUUUCUCAAUAGUUCAGCAAAGGUGUUCUCUUUUUUCACCAAUCUUCAAUGCACAGUUUCUCUUCUCUAUCCCAAACCAUUAUAUCAGGUCUAUUGAGGUUUUCACUGGAAUAUUCCACCAGUAUUCCUUUUUAUUAUGAGUGGUUAUGGCUUUAUGUAUGUAUGGAUGGAUGGAUGUACUACAAGCGAACAGUGGUCCUGGUGCGUGCACACGCGCAUCCAUGCUAGCUAGUUGUAAGUAGUCAAUCCUAAAUAAUUUUUUAAACUAGGUAAAUAAAUUAUUUUUAUAAACUAACUUUUUAACUAUUAUAAACUAACUGCUUACGGCCAUAUCACGUUAAAAGCACUGGUUCUCGUCCGAUCACCGAAGUUAGGAAACAUCGAGCCUAAUUAGUACUUAGAUGGGUGACCGCUUGGGAAACCUAGGUGCUGUAAUCAUCCCAUUAAUAGGCACAGGAGUGGCUGUGUGGUAAGUAGCUUGCUUACCAACCACAUGGUUCCGGGUUCAGUCCUACUGCGUGGCACCACAGGCAAGUGUCUUCUACUAUAACCUCGAGCCGACCAAAGCCUUGUGAGUGGAUUUGGUAGAUGGAAACUGAAAGAAGGCCAUCGUAUAUAUAUAUAUGGAGCACUGCCUUUAGUCGAGCAAAUCGACCCCGGGACUUAUUCUUUUGUAAGCCCAGUACUUAUUCUAUCGGUCUCUUUUGCCGAACGGGGACGUAAACACACCAGCAUCGGUUGUCAAGCAAUGCUAGGGGGACAAACACACAAACACACACACACAUACAUAUAUAUAUAUAUAUAUAUAUAUAUAUAUAUAUAUAUAUAUAUAUAUAUAUAUAUAUAUAUACCUAUAUAUAUAUAUAUAUAUAUACAUAUAUACGACGGGCUUCUUUCAGUUUCCGUCUACCAAAUCCACUCACAAGGCUUUGGUUGGCCUGAGGCUAUAGUAGAAAACAUUUGCCUAAGGUGCCACGCAGUGGGACUGAACCCGGAACCAUGUGGUUGGUUAGCAAGCUACUUACCACACAGCCACUCCUGCGCCUAUAUAUAUAUGUAUAAAUGAGAAAUCUAAAAAACUUAAAAUGUAUUUCUUUACUGCCCACAAGGGGCUAAACAUAGAGGGGGCAAACAAGGACAGACAAAGGGAUUAAGUCGAUUACAUCGACCCCAGUUGGAAACUGGUACUUUAUUUAUCGACCCCACCGAAAAGAUGAAAGGCAAAGUCGACCUCGGCAGAAUUUGAACUCAGAACGUAACGACAGACGAAAUACCGCUACGCUUUUCGCCCCGCCCCGCGUGCUAACCCUUCUGCCAGCUCUGUAUUUCUCAUGUUACUUAACUGUCUCUGCCCCAUCCCUCACUGUUCUGAAUCAAACCACCACCACCACCACCAUCACCUCCACCAUCAAAAUAUCACUAGGCCCCCAACUGCAACCCUCACCCCACCAUCACCUCCUUUUAACUGAAGCAACUUGGCUGUGGAUGUUAAUUGAUAUCCCUAUGUAAGUCUGACUCACUUCAUGGGAAAAUUGGCGACCCUUUUCUUCUCUCUCUCUCUCUCUCUCUCUCUCUCUCUCUCUCUCUCUCUCUCUUCUACAAAAGCGACCCAGCCCUUCCUUUAACACCCCCCCCCCGCUUUAACUCUGCUGAGAUUUGCAGGAAUGGUAAAUGGUAAAAUGUGGGAAGUGGGGGGAAGAAUCAGUUCUUUGUCCUCAUUCUUAGCAAUUUGGUCUGACCUUCUUUUCAGUCUGAAUUGCUUCUCACACACAUACAUACACACACACACACACACACACACAUAUAUAGUCAUAUACACACACACAUGUGUGUGUGUGUGUGUAUACUCUUACUCUUUUACUUAUUUCAGUCAUUUGACUGCGGCCAUGCUGGAGCACCACCUUUUUAGUCGAACAAAUCGACCCCCGGGACUUAUUCUUUGUAAGCCCAGUACUUAUUCUAUCGGUAUCUUUUUGCCGAACUGCUAAGUGACGGGGAUGUAAACACACCAACAUCGGUUGUCAAGCAAUGCUAGGGGGAGACACAAACACACACACACACACAUAUAUAUAUAUAUAUACUUUGAUACUUUGAUAGGUUUCGGCCAUUAUUGGCCCAGGCCAUGUCUAACUUAAUAGCACCACACAUACGACAGGCUUCUUUCAGUUUCCGUCCACCAAAUCCACUCACAAGGCUUUGUUCGGCCCGGGGCUAUAGCAGAAGACACUUGCCCAAGAUGCCACGCAGUGGGACUGAACCCGGAACCAUGUGGCUGGUUAGCGAGCUACUUACCACACAGCCACUCCUGCGCCUAUAUAUAUAUAUAUAUAUAUAUAUAUAUAUAUAUAUAAACAUUUAAAUAAUGAGGGAGAUAAAUUGAAUAUUAAUUUAAUUAACAUCAAUUUAAAACCAGUAGCCAAGCAUACAAAAAUAUGAAAAUCAGAGAAAAUUCUAAUACAUGUGUAUAUUUAAAGAGCUAAAACAACCACUAGGUGGUCAGCCGUAUGCUAGAAGUAGAUCACCUACGAUCAAGCAUACGGCUGACCACCAAGUGGUUUUUUAGCCCUUUAAAUAUACACACAUAUAUAUAUUGUUACUUGUUUCAGUCACUUGACCGGCCUUGCUGGAGCAUCGCCUUUAGUAAAAAAAAAAAAAAAAAGUCAACCCCAGGACUUAUUAUAUCAGUGUCUUUUGCUGAACUGCUAGGUUACAGGGAUGUAAACAUGCCAACAUCGGCUAUGAUUUCUAUGGCUCAGUGCCCUUUACAGAGCAUCCUGGGUGCCUUCUAUGUGGUACCAGCAUGGGUGCUUUUUAUGGCACUGAACCAAGUGAUUUCUACAUGGCAUGAGCGCGGGUGCAUUAGAAGCAGCACAGUUGCAGAUGCUCCAUAUGUGACGCCCACACAAGUGCCUUUUGUGCAGCACUGAAAGGGGAGCUUUUUAUAUGGCACAGCCAUCCACAAGCCUGUGAGACGAGGGCCUUUGUCCAUACGUACACAUGUAUAUGUAUGCACAUGCCAGUGUGUGUGUGUGUGUGUUUGUGUGAGAGAGAGAGAAUGUGAAUGUGUAUGUUAGUGUGUAUGUGUGUGUCUGAGAAAGAGAGAAUGUGUGUGUCUGAGAGAGAGAAAACAUGUGUAAAAGAGAGAGAGAGCGAAUGUGUGUGAGAGUGAGAGAGAGUGUGUGUGUGUAUGAGAGAGAGAGAGAAUGUGUGUGAGAGAGAGAGUGUGUGUGUGUGUCUGUAAGAGAAAAAUAUGUGUGUCUAAAAGAAAAAGAGAGAGAGAGUGUGUCUGUGAGAGAGAGAGAGAGUGUGUGUGUGUGUAUGAGAGAGAGAGAGAAUGUGUGUGUGUGUGUGUCUGUAAGAGAAAAAUAUGUGUGUGUCUAAAAGAAAAAGAGAGAGAGAGUGUGUCUGUGAGAGAGAGAGAGAGAGAGAGAGUGUGUAUGAGAGAGAGAGUGUGUGUGUGUGUGUGAGAGAGAGAGAGAGAGAAUGUGUGUGUGUGUGUGUGUGUAAUUCCUCACCACCAUCACUGUUGCCUCAACAUUCCUCUUUACCAAUAUCACCAUCUGUUAAAUCAAAACCAAUUUCCCAGUAAUUUGAUAAUUAUGCCUUAAUUAAGAUUGCUGCUGAUUAUAUCUGUGUGUGCAUGCGUGUGCGUGUGUAUGUGCUUGAGUGCCAAUGUGCAAUAAUGUCUUUGUGUAUAUGUGUGUGUAAUUACAGUGUGUUUGGUGUUGAUAUGCAAUGCGUUUGUGUGUGUUAUUAAUGUAUCAAUACGUUCAUGUGUAAAUGUGCUAACAUAGGCGCAGGAGUGGCUGUGUGGUAAGUAGCUUGCUAACCAGCCACAUGGUUCCGGGUUCAGUCCCACUGCGUGGCAUCUUGGACAAGUGUCUUCUGCUAUAGCCCCGGGCCGACCAAAGCCUUGUGAGUUCAGCCCUUUGAAAAUGAAGGACAACUUGAAACUAUAAGACUAGAUAUAUAAAAGAUUUACAAACAACAAACAUGUCAAACUUGUACUCCCUUCAUCAGCUGCCUAGUUAAUAUUAUUAUGGUUUUGACACUUGGGCAGUACAAUUCAAUUUGGUUGUGUCAAUAGCAUUAAAAACAUAAAACAGUGUCUGCGAAUUGACGGACAAGAAGCGGAAGAUAAAAGUUUGAGUAAUAUGUCCAUUAAAUCUUUACUUGCUUAUUUAUUAAUAUAAAUACAAACAUCAAAUUUUAAACAUAAAUUAUGACAUUCCUAUAAGUACGAAGCAUAGAAGAAAUUUAAUACUAAGAAAGUAAGAACCUUUUAACAAGUUCAGCCCACUUAAAGUGAAGGACAACUUAGGACAACCAGACUAUUGAUCCACAGAUCACAAGCAAAUCAAACAUGUGCUCCCAUCAUUAGCUGCCUGUUGGAUGUCAUUAUGGUUUCAACACUUGGGUAGUACUAUUCAAUCUGGUUGGGUCAAUAGCAUCAACAUUAUAAUCAGUGCUUGGGAAUUGAUGGAGAAGAGGCAAAUAUAUACAGUAUAUACACAUAUGUGGAGGCGCAAUGGCCUAGUGGUUAGGGCAGCGGACUCGCGGUCACAGGAUCGCGGUUUCGAUUCCCAGACCGGGCGUUGUGUGUGUUUAUUGAGCGAAAAACACCUAAAAGCUCCACGAGGCUCCAGCAGGGGGUGGCGAUCCCUGCUGUACUAUUUCACCACUCUUUCUCCCACUCUUUCUUCUGUUGGCCUGCUCGCUUAGCUAGCGGGGUGGCGUCAUUCGAAGGCAUUGUGACCAGCGAUGUGUAGCAACAUCUGAUGGUCUGGUCAGUGACAUGAUCAUUAUAUAUAUAUAUAUAUAUAUAUAUAUAUACUUUAUUUAAAGCAGCAGAAAUUCAACAAAACCUGUUACUCUGAGUUUCUCGUUGCCGUUCAUCAGACAGUUUUUGCUAGAAUCUAGCAAAAACUGUCUGAUGAACGGCAACGAGAAACUCAGAGUAACAGAUUUUGUUGAAUUUUCUGCUGCUUUAAAUAAAGCAUAUUACUCUACCACUGGUAUUUGAGUACUCUUUUUUCCACCUUGUUUCACAUUUAUGUGUUUACUCCGAUAUAUAUAUAUAUAGACACUGGAGUGGCUGUGUGAUAAGAAGCUUGCUUACCAACCACAUGAGUGAAUUUGGUAGACAGAAACUGAAAGAAGCCCACUGUAUACAUACAUACAUAUAUAUAUAUAUAUAUAUAUAUAUAUAUGUGUGUGUGUGUGUGUUUGUCUGUGUUUGUCCCCCUAGCAUUGCUUGACAACCGAUGCUAGUGUGUUUACAUCCCUGUCACUUAGCAGUUCGGCAAAAGAGACUGAUAGAAUAAGUACUGGGCUUACAAAGAAUAAGUCCCGGGGUCGAUUUGCUCGACUAAAGGUGGUGCUCCAGCAUGGCCCGCAGUCAAAUGACUGAAACAAGUAAAAGAGAGUAUAUAUAUAUAUAUAUAUAUAUAUAUAUAUAUAUAUAUAUAUAUAUAUGUAUAUGUAUAUAAAGGAAAAGUUUACGAAAAUAAACAAAAGACGAAGGCAGGUGGAGUACAAACAAACAAAUGUAUUAGUAUGGCGCUCAGGAAUAGAAAAAGUCUUUUACGUUUCGAGCCUACGCUCUUCGACAGAAAGAUACACAGAAAAAAACAAGGAGAGAAAAAAAUGUGCGUAGUAGCUAUACAUAUAUGUAUGUAUGAAUGUAUAUAUCAAGCAUGUACUGUCAGUAAUUACUCAGGGUAGGCAGUUGAUGAUGUUCAUGUAGCAAAACACAUAAAAAAAUCAGCGAAACACACACACAUGACUGAGUUGAAGGCAGAUUUCCUUCUGCCUUUAUAACACAUAAAGAAAACGAUGUUGUAGGAGUAUACGCAACAAGUGUACUACGGCAUUACUAUGCACAGCUUAAAUACUGAGAUUGAAAAGCAGGGGUGAAUUAUGCCUACCUAAUCUACAAAAAAAUUAAAUAUUUUGUAUUUCAAUGAGAGUAAUCAGAGAAAUCAUCAUAAUUUUAUUGAAUUAGGUGCAUAUUUUGCCAUGAAAGGAAAAGGUUGCUAUCGAACUAUUUUAUUCAAGGUGGCAUGUCCCUGGUAUAUAUAUAUAUAUAUAUAUAUAUAUAUAUGCAUUGGGUCAUCCCCUAAAUAAUGCGGUUUUUUCAAUUGCAUGAACUAAAAGUCAGGGGGGAAUGGGAUAAACUACCUGCAUCAUUUUGCUAAGUAACGGGGACAUAAACACACCAGCAUUGGUUGUCAAGCAAUGCUAGGGAGACAAACACAGACACACAAACACACACAUGCAUAUAUAUAUAUAUAUAUAUAUACAUAUAUACGACGGGCUUCUUUCAGUUUCCGUCUACCAAAUCCACUCUCAAGGCUUUGGUCGGCCCGAGGCUAUAGCAGAAGACACUUGCUCAAGGUCCCACGCAGUGGGGCAGAACCCGGAACCAUGUUAUUGGUAAACAAGCUACUUACCACACAGCCACUCCUGCGCCUUCAGUAGUGGAGGAGUAAUUUUUGUCAUGGACAGGGGAAUUUUGGAAGAACGAGACUUAUGGAAGAGCAUUGUAGAAAAUGAAGGAGAGUAUAUUUCAGAUUAAAAAAGAAUUUUGUUUAUCUUCAUUUUGAAAAAUAAAAGAAAUAUAAAAAAAAACUGCAUUAUUUAUGGGAUGACCCAAUAGUUACUGGUUGAAGGUCUGCAUGUUUAUAAAGUUGUUGAUAAAUAGAUAGCGCUGCCUUGACUGGCCUCGUGCCGGUCGCACGUAAAAAGCACCAUCCGAACGUGGCCGUUGCCAGCCCUGCCUGGCCCCCGUGCCAGUGGCACGUAAAAAGCACCAACAGAUCGUGGCCGUUUGCUAGCCUCGCCUGGCCCCCGUGCCAGUGGCACGUAAAAAGCACCAACAGAUCGUGGCCGUUGCCAGCCCUGCCUGGCCCCCGUGCCAGUGACACGUAAAAAGCACCAACAGAUCGUGGCCGUUUGCUAGCCUCGCCUGGCCUCCGUGUCGGUGACACAUAAAAAGUACCAUCCAAUCGUGGCCGUUUGCCAGCCUUAUCUGGCACGUAAAAAGCACCCACUACACUCUCGGAGUGGUUGGCGUUAGGAAGGGCAUCCAGCUGUAGAAACGCUGCCAGAUCAGACUGGGCCUGGUGCAGCCCCUGGCUUCCCAGAUCCCCGGUCGAACUGUCCAACCCAUGCUAGCAUGGAAAGCGGACGCUAAAUGAUGAUGAUGAAUGUUGUAGAGUGAAUCAUAAUAACCUGUUCUACUAAAGGCACAAGGCUUGAAAUUUUGUGGGAUGAGAGAGACUAGGUGAUUACAUCGACCCCCCCCCCCAGUUCAGCAAAAGGGACCGAUAGAAUAAGUACCAAGUUUUUAGAAAAAACAAGUUCUGUGGUCGAUAAGUUCAACUAAAAAUUUUUCAAGACGAUACUCCAGCAUGGCCGCAGUCAAGUCACUGAGAUAAAAGUCUCUCGAAUGUUCUCGCUUUUGGUCCUUUAGUGUGCAGUAGGUGUAUCGUUUGAUGACUUGGCAUGCAGUGGUCCAUUUGAAGUGGGUGAGCUGGGAGCAGCAAUGAAGGGCUCUUACUACUAUUCGCUAAAUGACGUUUUCACUUCCUAUUCUUCAAAGUAUUUUCUAGAACACCCAUGAGUCAGUUGGAAAUGGUUGUCAUUAUUUUCUUUCUUUCUUUUUUUCUUUUUUUUUUGCUUAACAUUUUUUUGAUGUCACUCUUUUGGUAUUGCCUUCCCUCCUGAUUCUCUCUUUACUCUUUUACUCUUUUACUUGUUUCAGUCAUUUGACUGCGGCCAUGCUGGAGCACCGCCUUUUAGUCGAGCAACUCGACCCCGGGGCUUAUUCUUUUUGUAAGCCCAGUACUUAUUCUAUCGGUCUCUUUUUGCCGAACUGGUAAGUGACAGGGACAUAAACACACCAGCAUCGGUUGUCAAGCAAUGCUAGGGGAACAAACACAGACACACAAACACACACACAUACAUAUAUAUAUAUAUAUAUAUAUAUACGAUGGGCUUCUUUCAGUUUCCGUCUACCAAAUCCACUCACAAGGCAUUGGUCGGCCCGGGGCUAUAGCAGAAGACACUUGCCCAAGAUGCCACGCAGUGGGACUGAACCCGGAACCAUGUGUUUGGUUAGCAAGCUACUUACCACACAGCCACUCCUCAGGAAAUUUUUUUAGAACAUACCACAAAAAAUAGUGAUUUUUUUUUUUCAGUGUCCAUUGUAAAUGACUGGUAUGGUACUUUACUUCACUGACUCCCUUCCCCGUUCACCCUUAGGAAUGGUGAAAGGCAGAGUUGACUCUGGCGCGAUUUGAACUCAAGGUGCUAUAUGUGAGAGCGGCAAUGCUGUAUGGGAGUGAGAUAUGGUGUUUAAGGGAGAGAGAGAUGGCAAUUUUGAAAAGGGGCUGAGAGAGCAAUGGUGAGAGAAAUGUGUGGUGUGUGGGCAGUUGCUAUGGCACUGAGGUAGAUUUGGUCACCCCCAUUAACGGGGACACGAGCCAAAUUUAAAAUGAUGGCUGAUGAUGAUGAUGGAAAUCGGACAUUGAGUGUAAGCCAGAGUCAACAGUGGUUCCAGAAAUUCCAUGCCGGAAACUAUGGCCGAGUAGAUGAGCCUCAUCCUUGAAGAUCUGCAGAGCCUGAUGAGGACAUCCUGCAAAUCCUCGUGGAACAAAAUCCCAUUGUAACUGUUGAGGAAUUAGCAGAGAAGCUUGGAUUUGGUCAUUCAACCAUUCAUUGACACCUGGAUUCCAUCAGAAAAUUAAACAAAUUGGGUCAAUGACUUUCCAAGUUGGCAUGUUGGAUGGAACUUAUACUUGCCUCCUUAUGAGAGCUCAAAAUCUCUCGUGGAAGCGUCAUCCAACCAAAAUGCAAAUAUAUGGGAAACUACCACCUGUGUCAUCUCUUGUGAAAGGUAGGAGAGUCCAGUUUGCUGGACAUUGUUGUAGAGCUGAAAACGAAGUAAUUUCUCCUCUUCUCCUCUGGAAGCCAUGUACUCGCGAUACCAGAGGGCGCACACUCUCCUACCCUGAUGUAAUCUCCAUGGAUACAGGCAUCCAGCAACAGGACCUCUGUAAUGCCAUGAUGGACCGUGAAGUCUGGCGUAGCAUGGUAAAUUCCAUUGUCUCGACCACGGUCGAACAAUGUUGAUGAUGUUAUAUAUAUAUAUAUAUAUAUAUGUAUAUAUAUAUAUAUAUAUAUAUAUAUACAUACAUACAUAUCAUCUCUUGUGAAAGGUAGAAGAGUCCAGUUUGCUGGACAUUGUUGUAGAGCUGAAAAAGAAGUAAUUUCUCCUCUUCUCCUCUGGAAGCCAUCUACUCGCGAUACCAGAGGGCGCACACUCUCCUACCCUGAUGUAAUCUCCAGGGAUACAGGCAUCCAGCAACAGGACCUCCGUAAUGCUAUGAUGGACCGUGAAGUCUGGCGUAGCAUGGUAAAUUCCAUUGUCUCGACCACGGUCGAACAAUGUUGAUGAUGUUAUAUAUAUAUAUAUAUAUAUAUAUAUAUAUAUAUAUAUAUAUAUAUACAUACAUACAUAUCAUCUCUUGUGAAAGGUAGGAGAGUCCAGUUUGCUGGACAUUGUUGUAGAGCUGAAAAAGAAGUAAUUUCUCCUCUUCUCCUCUGGAAGCCAUCUACUCCCGAUACCAGAGGGCGUACACUCUCCUACCCUGAUGUAAUCUCCAGGGAUACAGGCAUCCAGCAACAGGACCUCCGUGAUGCCAUGAUGGACCGUGAAGUCUGGCGUAACAUGGUAAAUUCCAUUGUCUCGACCACGGUCGAACAAUGUUGAUGAUGUUAUAUAUAUAUAUAUAUAUAUAUAUAUAUAUAUAUAUAUAUAUAUAUAUAUACAUACAUACAUAUCAUCUCUUGUGAAGGUAGGAGAAGUUUGCUGGACAUUGUUGUAGAGCUGAAAAAGUAAUUUCUCCUCUUCUCCUCUGGAAGCCAUCUGCUCGCGAUACUAGAGGGAGCACACUCUCCUACCCUGAUGUAAUCUCCAGGGAUACAGGCAUCCAGCAACAGGACCUCCGUAAUGCUAUGAAUGAAGUCUGGCGUAGCAUGGCAAAUUCCAUUGUCUCGACCACGGUCGAACAAUGUUGAUGAUGAUGACACCUGGAUGCCAAGUGGAAUGGGACAAAACUAAAGAAUUCAAAUCAAAAAUUUAUUGCAGCUAAGAGAGAGAUGGUGGUGCAAAAAUGCACCACCAUCUCUCUCUGUUUGAUGCUCAACCAAUUCACAGCUGUUCAACUGAGCAGCUUUGAGUGGAAGAUCUAUGUUGUUGUUGUUGUAACCAUCAACACCACCAUCAUCAUCAGCAUUAAUGUUAUUACCAUCAUUGUCCUCAUUAUUUUCCUCAUCCCUAUCAUUAUCAUCAUCGUUGUCAUCAUUUUCAUCAUCAUCAUCAUCGCCAUCAUCAUCUUCAUUAUGUAGCCGUCGUCAUCAUUUUAAUCACUGUUGUGAUAUAGUGGUCUCCUUCACUGGCUCACACAUACAUUUAUAUAUACAUAAUUUGAAGGAGAUUUAGUUGCUAUUUCUAGCAGGUCUAGCUACCAAUGUAGAGGUCUCCCUCAUGGGCUUAUACAUACAUAAUUUGAGGAAGACUUGGUUACUAUUUCUAGCAGGUCUAGCUACCAAUGUAGAGGUCUCCCUCAUGGGCUUAUACAUACAUAAUUUGAGGAAGACUUGGUUGCUAUUUCUAGCAGGUCUAGCUACCAAUGUAGAGGUCUCCCUCAUGGGCUUAUACAUACAUAAUUUGAGGAAGACUUGGUUGCUAUUUCUAGCAGGUCUAGCUACCAAUGUAGAGGUCUCCUUCAUGGGCUUAUACAUACAUAAUUUGAGGAAGACUUGGUUGCUAUUUCUAGCAGGUCUAGCUACCAAUGUAGAGGUCUCCUUCAUGGGCUUAUACAUACAUAAUUUGAGGAAGACUUGGUUGCUAUUUCUAGCAGGUCUAGCUACCAAUGUAGAGGUCUCCCUCAUGGGCUUAUACAUAACGUAUACACAGGCAUAAGACAGCAGGAUGUGAGCUGAGAGAGAUUUGGCUGUUGUUUUUACCUGGUCUAGUUAUAAUGUAGAAAUCUCCCUCGUUGUAUACAUUCAUAUGAUAGUAGAGUGUGAUUUGAGAGGGAUUUGGCUGCUAUUUCUACCAUGUCAAGCUACCAUGUAGAGGUCUUCCACAUUGGCUCAUACAUACAUAAGGCAGUAUGGGUGUGAUUUGAGGGAGAUUUGGUUGCUAUUUCUAUCAAAUUUAGUUAGAAUGCAGUGGUCUCAUUUAUUGGUUCAUACCAUACAUAUCUAUACACACACAUAAGACAGUAAAGUGUGAUUUGAGGGAGAUUUGGCUGCUAUUUCUGUCAGGUCUAGCUACUAAUUUGAGGUCUCCCUUAUUAGCUCAUACGUGCACAAGACAGCAGUGUGUGAUUUGUGGGAGAUUUGGCUGCUAUUUCUUCCAGAUCUAGCUACCACAUAGAGGUCUGUCUCAUUGGCCCAUACACACAUAUAUACAUACACAGGGCAGUAGGGUGUGAUUUGUGGGAGAUUUGGCUGCUAUUUCUGCCAGAUCUAGCUACCACGUAGAGGUCUACCUCAUUGGCCCAUACACACAUAUAUACAUACACAGGGCAGUAGGGUGUGAUUUGUGGGAGAUUUGGCUGCUAUUUCUUCCAGAUCUAGCUACCACGUAGAGGUCUGCCUCAUUGGCCCAUACACAAGGCAGUAGGGUGUGAUUUGUGGGAGAUUUGGCUGCUAUUUCUUCCAGAUCUAGCUACCACGUAGAGGUCUGCCUCAUUGGCCCAUACACAAGGCAGUAGGGUGUGAUUUGUGGGAGAUUUGGCUGCUAUUUCUACCAGAUCUAGCUACCACGUAGAGGUCUGCCUCAUUGGCCCAUACACAAGGCAGUAGGGUGUGAUUUGUGGGAGAUUUGGCUGCUAUUUCUACUAGAUCUAGCUACCACAUAGAGGUCUGUCGCAUUGGCCCAUACACAAGGCAGUAGGGUGUGAUUUGUGGGAGAUUUGGCUGCUAUUUCUACCAGAUCUAGCUACCACGUAGAGGUCUGCCUCAUUGGCCCAUACACAAGGCAGUAGGGUGUGAUUUGUGGGAGAUUUGGCUGCUAUUUCUACCAGAUCUAGCUACCACGUAGAGGUCUGCCUCAUUGGCCCAUACACAAGGCAGUAGGGUGUGAUUUGUGGGAGAUUUGGCUGCUAUUUCUACCAGAUCUAGCUACCACGUAGAGGUCUGCCUCAUUGGCCCAUACACAAGGCAGUAGGGUGUGAUUUGUGGGAGAUUUGGCUGCUAUUUCUGUCAAGUCUACCUACCACGUAGAGGUCUCUCUCCUCUACUCCUUCAAGAAUUUAUAAUUGUGAAUGUGAUGAUGAUGAUGAUAAGGAUGAAAAGGAAGCUGGGGUCAAGCAGGGGUGAAAUACCUAAAAUAACUCUCUCUCUCUCUGCUAUCUCCCUUUCAUCUGGGUGUAUAUAUAUAUAUUUUUUUCCUUUUUAUACACCCUGGAGGUCUGGAGUUUCUAAAGGAGGAUGUGCUUGUUUAUAGAACUGGUGAAUGAUGGGAUGCCUGCCUCAUCAUGUAAUCUCACUCAUCAGCUGUUCAUCGUCAUCACCACUCCCACCGCUACCAUCAUCAUCACUACCUCCACCACCACCAACACCAUGAUCAUCACUACCACCACCAACACCAUCAUCGCCACCAUCACCACCACCACCAUUAUCACCAUCACCACUACCACCAUCAUCAUCACUACCUCCAUCAUCACCAACACCACCACCAACACCACUACCAUCACUACCACCACUAUCACCACCAUCAUCACCACCAUCACCACCACCACCAUCACCAUCAUCAUCACCACCACCAUCACCAGCACCAUCACCACCACCACCAUCACCAUCAUCAUCACUACCACCACCACCACCAACACCACUACCACCAUCACCACCAUCACCAUCACCACCACCAUCACCAUCAUCACCACCACCAUCAUCAUCACCAUCAUCAUCACCACCAUCACCACCACCAUCAUCACCACCACCAGCACCAUCAACACCACCACCACCAUCAUCAUCAUCACCUCCCACCACCACCACCAUUAUCACCAUCACCUUUUCCACAAUCACCACUACCACCACCAUCAUCACUACCUCCAUCACCACCAUCACCAUUUCCACCAUCACCACUACCACCAUAAUCGUUGCUACUACCACUACUACUAUCUUUGGCCACGAAGGACAUGUGGCAGUUAUUUCUAGCACAUCUAUCUGCCAGGUAAAGCCACCAUCAGCAUCAUCACCAACAUCACCACUACCGUUAUUGCUGUCGCAGACCACGAAGGACGUGUGGCAGCUAUUUCUAGCACGUCCAUCUGCCACUUGGGGCCACUCAGUGGAUGUGCUGUCAUGCAGUAGUGACCCUAACCCUAACCCAACCAGCUUCCCCACCCCCACAACAUACCUACCUAUAGCCACUCGCCACCCCUUUCUGCUUCCUUCCAUUGUUCCCUUACCCUCUUUUCUUUAUCUUCUACAGCUACUCUCCCCCCUCCUCCCCACAAUACUUGUUGCCACCCCAAAGUGGUGAGCUGGCAGAGAGAGACCUUGGUGCGUCAUACAAAAUGUUUCACAGCUUUCCUUCCGGCUCUCUACACACAAAAGUUCAAAUGCAGAAAUCUCCAUCACUGGCUCGUAAUUACAUCUAUACAUACACAGGAUGUCACAGCAUGAUUUGAGGGAGAUUUGGCUGCUAUUUCUACUAGGUCUAGCCACUAUAUAGAGAUCGCCCUCACUGGCUCAUACAUACGGCAGUAAGGUGUGAUUUGAGGGAGAUUUGGCUGCUAUUUCUAACAGGUCUAGCUCUCAUGUAGAGGUCUUCCUCAUUGACUCAUACAUACGACAGUAGGGUGUGAUUUGAGAGAGAUUUGGCUGCUAUUUCUACCAGGUCUAGCCACGAUAGAGAGAUCUCCCUCAUUGACUCAUACAUACGACAGUAGGGUGUGAUUUGAGGGAGAUUUGGCUGCUAUUUCUACCAGGUCUAGCCACGAUAGAGAGAUCUCCCUCACUGGCUCAUACAUACGGCAGUAAGGUGUGAUUUGAGGGAGAUUUGGCUGCUAUUUCUACCAGGUCUAGCCACGAUAGAGAGAUCUCCCUCAUUGGCUCAUACGUACGGCAGUAAGGUGUGAUUUGAGGAAGAUUUGGCUGCUAUUUCUGCCAGGUCUAGCCACGAUAGAGACAUUGCCCUCACUGGCUCAUACAUACGGCAGUAAGGUGUGAUUUGAGGGAGAUUUGGCUGCUAUUUCUACCAGGUCUAGCCACAAUAGAGAGAUCUCCCUCACUGGCUCAUACAUAAGACAGUAGGGUGUGAUUUGAGAGAGAUUUGGCUGCUAUUUCUACCAGGUCUAGCUCUCAUGUAGAGGUCUUCCUCAUUGACUCAUACAUAUACGACAGUAAGGUGUGAUUUGAGGGAGAUUUGGCUGCUAUUUCUACCAGGUCUACCCACGAUAGAGAGAUCUCCCUCAUUGGCUCAUACGUACGGCAGUAAGGUGUGAUUUGAGGAAGAUUUGGCUGCUAUUUCUGCCAGGUCUAGCUCUCAUGUAGAGGUCUUCCUCAUUGGCUCAUACAUACGGCAGUAAGGUGUGAUUUGAGGGAGAUUUGGCUGUUAUUUCUACCAGGUCUAGCCACAAUAGAGAGAUCGCCCUCACUGGCUCAUACAUAAGACAGUAGGGUGUGAUUUGAGGGAGAUUUGGCUGCUAUUUCUAACAGGUCUAGCUCUCAUGUAGAGGUCUUCCUCAUUGACUCAUACAUACGACAGUAGGGUGUGAUUUGAGGGAGAUUUGGCUGCUAUUUCUACCAUGUCAAGCCACGAUAGAGAGAUCUCCCUCACUGGCUCAUACAUACGGCAGUAAGGUGUGAUUUGAGGGAGAUUUGGCUGCUAUUUCUACCAGGUCUAGCUCUCAUGUAGAGGUCUUCCUCAUUGAUUCAUACAUAAGACAGUAAGGUGUGAUUUGAGGAAGAUUUGGCUGUUAUUUCUACCAUGUUAAGCCAUGAUAGAGAGAUCGCCCCCACUGGCUCAUACAUAAGACAGUAAGGUGUGAAUUGAGGGAGAUUUGGCUGCUAUUUCUACCAGGUCUAGCUCUCAUGUAGAGGUCUUCUUCAUUGACUCUUACAUACGACAGUAGGGUGUGAUUCGAGGGAAUAUUUGGCUGCUGCUUCUACCAGGUCUAGCUAUGAUGCAGAAGGUUUCCCUUGCCUGUGUGGUGGUGGUGGUGGUGUGGUGGUGUUGCCAGGGGAUGUGAGGAGGGCCAAGGGCGUCAAUGGCUUUGCACUAGAGUUCAAGUGGGUUCUGUUUGUUUAGGGAGAGGAAAUGGUGAUGGUAAUAUCAACAAUGGGAAGAAGGAGCAGGGUGGGGGAGGGGGGGCAGAGAUGAAGGUGUGGUGGUGGUGGUGGUGGUGGUGGUGAUGGUGGCGAAUAUGAUGGUGAUGGGGAUGAUAGUGAUGAUGGUGGUGAUGGUGGUAGUAAUGAUGGUGAUUGUGAUGGUGGUGUUAAAUGAUGGUGAUGAUGAUGGUGGUGAAUAUGAUGGUGAUGGGGAUGAUAGUGAUGGUGGUGGUGGUGGUUGCUUUGCUGAUGAUGAUAAUGAUAAUGAUGAUGGUAAUGGUGAUGAUGAUGAUGAUGAUGAUGAUAAUGAUGAUGGUGAUGAUGAUGAUAAUGAUGAUGGUGGUGAUGAUGAUGAUGGUGAUGAUGAUGAUGGUGGUGAUGGUGAUGAUGGUGGUGGAGGUUGUGUUGCUGAUGAUGGUGGGGUGGUGGUGGCGGCUGUGUUGAUGAUGAUGAUGAUGAUGUUAGAAGAUGAUGUCAAAGUGAUGGCUUUGAGUACGAAUGCUAAUGGCCCUGAUGAUGAAGACUUGACAAUAAUAGCUGCCAUCAUUAUGGAGACAGGAUGCCGGGGUUUGGGCAACAACCUUCUUAAGAAGGACCCCCCCCCAUGUCUAAGUGUGUGUGCUAUUACUAAUAAACUGGUGCUAGAACUCAUUAUGUAUUCAUGCUUCAGAAAGAAGCAUUAGUCAGGGGUACACGGUAUCAUGAACGUCAUUAACACUUACAGUUGUUUCUGCUAUCAGACAAAAUGCUCUCAGAGCUGAGUGCUUAUGUAUCACCUUGUAGCUCCGUCAGAUCUAUGUGUAUUUAUGUAUGUUUAUGUGUGUGUGUGCUUGUGCAUAUAUGUAUGUAUAUAUACAUAUAUAUAUACAUAUAUAUAUAUAUAUAUAUAUGUGUGUGUGUAUAUAUAUACAUAUGUAUAUGUGUGUGUGUGUGUAUAUAUAUACAUACAUACAUAUAUAUAUGUUGAUAUUAGAAUAUUAUAAAUAUUAGGCAUACGGGUGGCUGUGUGGUAAGUAGCUUGCUUACGAACCACAUGAUUCCGGGUUCAGUCCCACUGCGUGACAUCUUGGGCAAGUAUCUUCUACUAUAGCCUCGGGCCGACCAAAGCCUUGUGAGUGGAUUUGGUAGACGGAAACUGAAAGAAGCCCAUCAUAUAUAUAUAUAUAUAUAUAUAUAUAUAUAUGCUAUAUAUAUAUGUAUGUGUGUGUUUGUGUGUCUGCGUUUGUCCCCUAGCAUUGCUUGACAACCGAUGCUGGUGUGUUUAUGUCCCCGUUACUUAGCGGUUCGGCAAAAAGAGACCGAUAGAAUAAGUACUGGGCUUACAAAAAGAAUAAGUCCCGGGGUCGAUUUGCUCGACUAAAAGGCGGUGCUCCAGCAUGGCCGCAGUCAAAUGACUGAAACAAGUAAAAGAGUAAAAGAGAGUAAAGAGUAUAUACUAAUAUUAUCCUUGCAUCUAUUAGGCAUCCACCCAACAUCAUGAAAGCUACAAAUCCUGCACCCCCAAAGACAUCACAGCUUGACACAAAACUCCUAGCAGUCUGUCAGCUUUUGAUAGUCUUAUCACACCUCUAAAUACUUUGUCUGACGUAGGGAGUUCUGCAUUGGACAACAUAAGCUUGCCCUUAGGGUAGACACUCAAAUAACACACACACACACACACAUCACACAUGUCAUAGAAUUACAUAUAUUACAUAGGCGCAGGAGUGGCUGUGUGGUAAGUAGCUUGUUUACCAACCACAUGGUUCCGGGUUCAGUCUCAGCUUUCAUUCUCCUUCAAAUUUUAUCUUUUGCUUGGUAAACUGUGGCCAUGCUGGGGCACUGCCUUUAAGGGUUCAGUCAACUGAAUCCAUUGCAGUAUUCAUUUUUUUUCCAUUUUUUUUCUUUCUGAAGCUUUGUACUUAUGCUAUCAGUGUCUUUUGUCAAAACUGCUGAGCUAUGGGGACGUAAACAAACCAACACUGGUUGUCAAGUGGAGUUGGGGGACAAACAAACACAGAGACACACAUACACAUAACAUAUAUUUUUUUUUUAAUUGUUUCAGUCAUUUGACUGCGGCCAUGCUAGAGCACCGCCUUUAAUCGAGCAACUCGACCCCCGGGACUUAUUCUUUGUAAGCCCAGUACUUAUUCUAUCGGUUUCUUUUGCCGAACCGCUAAGUGACGGAGACAUAAACACACCAGCAUCGGUUGUCAAGCAAUGCUAGGGGGACAAACACAGACAUACAAACACACACACACACAUACAUAUAUAUAUACAUAUAUACGAUGGGCUUCUUUCAGUUUCCUUCUAACAAAUCCACUCACAAGGCAUUGGUCGGCCCGAGGCUAUAGUAGAAGACACUUUCCCAAGGUGCCAUCGGAAUUUCAACAUCAACAUCAGGGUACUUGUUGUAUGUAUGUAUGUAUGCAUGUAUGUAUGUAUGUAUGUGCGUAUGUAUGUGUGUAUGUAUGUGUGUAUGUAUGUAUUUAUGUAUGUAUGUAUUUAUGUAUUUAUGUAGGUAUGUAUGUAUGUGCGUAUGUAUGUAUGUGUGUAUAUAUGUAUGUAUGUAUGUA
rnacentral:lncRNA from 1 species